rnacentral:rRNA from 1 species
UACGAAGGGUGCAAGCGUUACUCGGAAUUACUGGGCGUAAAGCGUGCGUAGGUGGUUUGUUAAGUCUGUUGUGAAAGCCCCGGGCUCAACCUGGGAAUGGCAAUGGAUACUGGCAAGCUAGAGUGCGGUAGAGGGUAGUGGGAUUCCCGGUGUAGCGGUGAAAUGCGUAGAGAUCGGGAGGAACACCAGUGGCGAAGGCGGCUACCUGGACCAGCACUGACACUGAGGCACGAAAGCGUGGGGAGCAAACAGG